UACGUAGGGGGCAAGCGUUGUCCGGAUUUAUUGGGCGUAAAGAGCGUGUAGGCGGCCAGGUAGGUCAGCUGUGAAAACUCGAGGCUCAACCUCGAGACGUCGGUUGAAACCACCUGGCUAGAGUCCGGAAGAGGAGAGUGGAAUUCCUGGUGUAGCGGUGAAAUGCGUAGAUAUCAGGAGGAACACCGGUGGUGUAGACGGCUCUCUGGACCGUAACUGACGCUGAGACACGAAAGCGUGGGUAGCAAACAGG
rnacentral:rRNA from 1 species